AGGUGGACUUGUCUCAUGAGACAGCGUUAUGCAGCCGCUGUGGAACCAUUGCAGAACACAACCCCUCAUCAACACCACUAACAUCAAUUGAAGACAAAGACCACCACUCCUCAUCAACACCCCUAACAUCAAUUGAAGACAAAGACCACCACUCCUCAUCAACACCCCUAACAUCAAUUGAAGACCAAGACCACCACUCCUCAUCAACACCCCUAACAUCAAUUGAAGACAAAGACUACCACUCCUCAUCAACACCACUAACAUCAAUCGAAGACAAAGACUACCACUCCUCAUCAACACCACUAACAUCAAUUGAAGACAAAGACUACCACUCCUCAUCAACACCACUAACAUCAAUUGAGGACAAAGACUACCACUCCUCAUCAACACCACCAACAUCAAGUGACGACCAAGACUACCACUCCUCAUCAACAUCACCAACAUCAAGUGAAGACCAAGACUACCACCCCUCAUCAACGCCACCAACAUCAAGUGAAGAUGAAGACUACCACCCCUCGUCAACGCCACCUACAUCAAGUGAAGAUGAAGACUACCACCCCUCAAUACCAUCGUCCACUGAAAGGGAGAGUGUCUCAGAGAAAGACCAUAUUCACUCUUCAUUGAGGGAACAUGAGAUCCUGGAAGCUGAGACAAUAGUAAAUUCAGAAUUAAAAGGAAAAUGGAAGCUGCAAGGUGAUAAAAAGAGGCCACAAGUUACUAUUCAAACAAGCCAAAAGAAAACUGAUGGUACAAGGGCCUGGGAUAAAGCCCAUUACUGUUUGUAUUGUACAAAGUCCAAUUUGAAGAUGGCCAGACAUUUACAAAGAAAACACAGUAAUGAAACUGAUGUUGCCCGUGCCUUUAGCUUCCCACCUGGCUCCAAACAAAGGAAGACACUCUUGGAAUCCCUUCGCAAUAAGGGAGACUGGCAACAUAAUAUUAAGGUCUUAGAAGAAGGAAAUGGGGAGAUAGUAACAUGGAGACAGCCCACUGAGAAGGCUUCUGUACAGGACUACCUACCAUGGGAAUCUGAAGACACUGGACUCAGUUGUCUUUGGUAAAGGACAUGAAGCCACCUCAACCAAAGGCUUGAGAGGAGUCGAAGAGAGAGGGACAUCAAAUGUAGACAGACGACUGGAAGCUAAUGAUGAUGGAGAACAGCCACACCUGUCAACCACAAGCCCACCUGUCAAGAGGCCAACAAAGACUGCAACUAAAAGACAUGAUGAUGAUGAUGGGAGUUAUGAUGAUGGGGAUGGAGAGGUGCGACAACAGACCGCCAGAAGACCACCUAUUAAGAGACAAAAGAAGACUGCAGCUAAAGGACAGGAUGAUGGGAGUGAUGAUGAUGGAGAUGGAGAACAGCCACACCUGUCAACCACAAGCUCACCUGUCAAGAGGCCAAAGAAGACUGCAACUAAAAGAAGGCAUGAUGAGAGUGAUGAUGAGAGUGAUGAUGAUGGGUGUGGAGAGAAGCGACCCUCGACCGCAACAAGACCACCUGUUGAGAGGAGAAAGAAGACUAAACGAAACUAUGAUGAAUAUUAUGAUUGGGCUUUCUCAGAUGGAGAGGAGCUACUAAUCACAACACCCCCUGUUAAGGGGCGAAAGAAGACUGCAACUAACAGAGGACGUAAUGAUGAUGAUGCUCCAAAAACACAAUUAAAGAGACCCUGGACUGACCAGGAGAGGACUGCAGUCGGGCGAAGCAUGGCAAAGUUCAUCUCGCUAAGGAGGGUGCCAGCAAAGACAGACUGCAUGCUUUGUAUUGCGAAAGAGUCUCCAGUCCUUAGCGAUCGAACAUGGAAAGAUGUUAAAUAUUAUGUCCACAAUGCAAUACUUAAAAUCAAGAGAAAGCUUGCAUUUUAAAGGAGACCUGUUAUGUUCAGUGUCAGCCAAGUUCUGUUGCUGAGCCUACAAGCAAGGCAGCACAGCCAUUAGGAGGAGGUAGGGUGAAUGGGAAAGAGGGAUGGAGGGAUAAAAGAGGCAGGGAAUUGGGAUGAGAGGAAGAAGGUGGAGAGAGAGACAGGGGGAGACGGGUAGAAAAAGAGACAGGUAGAGGGAGGGAGGCAGAUAGAAAAAGAGAGGUAGAGGGAAGUAGAAAAAGAGAGACAGGUAGAAAGAGAGAGACAGGUCGAAAAAGGAGAGAGGGAGAGAAAGGUAGAAAAGGAGAGGGAGAGAGACAGGUAGAAGAGAGGGAGAGAGACAGGUAGAAGAAGAGAUUGAGAGAGACAGGUAGAAAAAGAGGGAGAGAGACCGGUAGAAAAAGAGCUUGACAGGUAGAAUAAGAGGUAGAGAGAGAGUUUGAUACUUUUUCGUUCGAGAAACUCCUGAAUAAUCGCUGUCGGUUCUGUGUUGUGUUCAAUAGUGUCUAUAUUUUUCUUGUAUCUGUAUUUAGGAUUGGUACU
ensembl:lncRNA